rnacentral:rRNA from 1 species
UGAGCGUCAGUGCAGGCCCAGGGGAUUGCCUUCGCCAUCGGUGUUCCUCCGCAUAUCUACGCAUUUCACUGCUACACGCGGAAUUCCAUCCCCCUCUGCCGCACUCUAGCCUUGCAGUCACAAUGGCAGUUCCCAGGUUGAGCCCGGGGAUUUCACCACUGUCUUACAAAACCGCCUGCGCACGCUUUACGCCCAGUAAUUCCGAUUAACGCUUGCACCCUACGUAUUACCGCGGCUGCUGGCACGUAGUUAGCCGGUGCUUAUUCUUACGGUACCGUCAUGACCCGGGGAUAUUAGCCCCAGGCUUUUCGUUCCGUACAAAAGCAGUUUACAACCCGAGGGCCUUCAUCCUGCACGCGGCAUUGCUGGAUCAGGCUUUCGCCCAUUGUCCAAAAUUCCCCACUGCUGCCUCCCGUAGGAGUCUGGGCCGUGUCUCAGUCCCAGUGUGGCUGGUCGUCCUCUCAGACCAGCUACAGAUCGCAGGCUUGGUAAGCCUUUACCCCACCAACUACCUAAUCUGCCAUCAGCCGCUCUAGUAGCACAAGGCCCGAAGGUCCCCUGCUUUCAUCCGUAGAUCUCAUGCGGUAUUAGCUACUCUUUC